rnacentral:lncRNA from 1 species
GGAGAAUUAUAAACUCGGUGGAAUAAGUCGGCCAUUUCGCUAUUCUCUCGGUCUAGCAUUAAUUGUACAAAAGAGAAGAAAUCGUCGGAAGUUGAUACAAGACUCGUGAGAAUAUCCGCUGAGACUAUUAUGUAUACGACAGCUAGUAAGUAGUCUUCGCAAUAUCUUACCAGAAAAGCGGUUGUUACCACGGUUUCAGUACCAAGUCGAACCAACAUGGCGACGUCUGGGGAGACGAGGAACGAAAGCUUCUGUUGCGGUACAUGUUACACGUAUUACAACCGAAUCGAAGAUGCUGUUAACUGCAGGUGUGGUAAGUUUCUGGGAUGUUAUCACCAGACGCUCAUAGGUAUAACUGGACUCGUAAUAAAUCAUUCCGUCCUCGUCCUUGUAUUGCUUAUAUACCCUAUGAUAUUCGUUGUUAUUUUGCCUUUUUUUCCUUUUGAUUUUUCC